rnacentral:lncRNA from 1 species
UUGCAUGAGGCGAUUAAAAUCUUCGAUUUUGUAUGCUCUGGCCAUUGCAAAAAAAUAUUUUCUUUAGCCGGUCAUGGUUCUUCUUGAACUGCUUCUUUAUGUUAUUCCAAAGAUGAAAGAUGUAUACACAGUGAGAUACCUCUGGAUACACAAUCGAAGAACCUCUCAAUAUGCUUGCGUGAUGAUCGGAUACGAUGCACAUCCUUUCCCUUUCCCCAAAAGUAUGUCUUAACAUUUCAAUAAACCAUUCCCAAGAAGCAUCAUUUUCAGAAUCCACAACAGUGUACGCUAGUGGAAAAAUUUUA